CCUAGAAACCCACCGGCCACAACUGUACACCUCCGUCCAAACACCAUCAAACCACCGUGCAUCCCUAGUUCCCGGUUGAUCUUCAACCGGAGAACUCAUCCCAAAACCCAGAUUCACAUGAACCCUAUCAAUUUAAACCCUAACCCUAGCUUAUUAAGAACCCUAACCAGCACAACGAUGAACCCUAACCCUCCAAUCCAAACAAAAACAACCAAACAAAGUGCAUGCAAUCGAUUAAACGUCUUAAAGCCCUAAACUAAGUGCAAUUUGGUAUGAAGGUGAAGAUCCAAGCUUUGACGUUCACGGCGCUUAGGGUUUCGUUCUCCCAAAAUUUCUCCUCAAAAGUUCAUCCCCUUCUUCUGAUUUCUUAUUUUAGAUUUAUAGACUUAGGUUAAAUUAGAUUUAGGAAUGAUUAGAUUAUUAGGUUUUAUGAUUUGAUUCGUUUUCAGAUCUUAUUCAAUGUAAAAUUGUUUCAGAUUAAUACAAAAUAUUAUAUUUCAUUUGAUU